UUAAUGUUUGAUGUUCUAACGUUGGCCCCUGAUCGGGGUUGCGGACAGUGUCUGGUGGGUAGUUUGACUGGGGCGGUCUCCUCCUAAAGAGUAACGGAGGAGCACGAAGGUUGGCUAAUCCUGGUCGGACAUCAGGAGGUUAGUGCAAUGGCAUAAGCCAGCUUGACUGCGAGCGUGACGGCGCGAGCAGGUGCGAAAGCAGGUCAUAGUGAUCCGGUGGUUCUGAAUGGAAGGGCCAUCGCUCAACGGAUAAAAGGUACUCCGGGGAUAACAGGCUGAUACCGCCCAAGAGUUCAUAUCGACGGCGGUGUUUGGCACCUCGAUGUCGGCUCAUCACAUCCUGGGGCUGAAGUAGGUCCCAAGGGUAUGGCUGUUCGCCAUUUAAAGUGGUACGCGAGCUGGGUUUAGAACGUCGUGAGACAGUUCGGUCCCUAUCUGCCGUGGGCGCUGGAGAACUGAGGGGGGCUGCUCCUAGUACGAGAGGACCGGAGUGGACGCAUCACUGGUGUUCGGGUUGUCAUGCCAAUGGCACUGCCCGGUAGCUAAAUGCGGAAGAGAUAAGUGCUGAAAGCAUCUAAGCACGAAACUUGCCCCGAGAUGAGUUCUCCCUGAGACUUUAAGUCUCCUGAAGGAACGUUGAAGACGACGACGUUGAUAGGCCGGGUGUGUAAGCGCAGCGAUGCGUUGAGCUAACCGGUACUAAUGAACCGUGAGGCUUAACCUU
rnacentral:rRNA from 1 species